rnacentral:other from 1 species
GUUUCCACUGUUGGUCUGAGGGCACGCGAUUCCUGGAGAAUUGCCUUUGUGAGAAGCUGGAAAUAUUUCUUUUAAAUUCCAUCUCUUAGUUUUCCAAUUUGUUGCAUUUUAGAGGAACAUUAAGGAACC